rnacentral:rRNA from 1 species
GGACUCCACUGCUAUCGGGGUAAGGCUAAGCCAUGCAAGUCGAAGGCCUCCGGCUCCGGGGGCCUGGCGUACGGCUGAGUAACGCGUGGCCAACCUGCCCUGCGGAGGGGGAUAACCCCGGGAAACUGGGGAUAAACCCCCAUAGGUGACCGGGUCUGGAAGGACCGGUCGCCGAAAGUCCCGGUCGGGGACGCUCCGGCCGGGAGCCGCAGGAUGGGGCUGCGUCCUAUCAGGUAGUUGGUGGGGUAACGGCCCACCAAGCCUGUGACGGGUAGGGGCCCUGAGAGGGGGAGCCCCCAGAUGGACUCUGAGACAAGAGUCCAGGCCCUACGGGGCGCAGCAGGCGCGAAAACUCCGCAAUGGGCGAAAGCCCGACGGGGUUACCCCGAGUGCCACCCUCGUGGUGGCUUUUGCCCGCUCUAAAAAGGCGGGCGAAUAAGGGGAGGGCAAGUCGGGUGUCAGCCGCCGCGGUAAUACCCGCUCCCCGAGUGGUGGAGGCUAUUACUGGGCCUAAAGCGCCCGUAGCCGGCCCGGUGUGUCCCUCGUUAAAUCCACGGGCUUAACCCGUGGGCUGCGGGGGAUACUACCGGGCUUGGGGGUGGGAGAGGCGCCCGGUAUUCCCGGGGUAGGGGUAAAAUCCUCUGAUCCCGGGAGGACCAUCAGUGGCGAAGGCGGGGCGCCAGAACACGCCCGACGGUGAGGGGCGAAAGCUGGGGGAGCAAACGGGAUUAGAUACCCCGGUAGUCCCAGCUGUAAACGAUGCGGGCUAGCUGUCGGGGCGGCUACGGGCCGCCCCGGUAGCGAAAGGGAAGCCAUUAAGCCCGCCGCCCGGGGAGUACGGCCGCAAGGCUGAAACUUAAAGGAAUUGGCGGGGGAGCACCACAAGGGUGGACGUUGCGGCUUAAUCGGAUUCAACGCCGAAACCUUACCGGGGCUGACGCAGGAUGAAGUC